CCCUUAGAGUUUGAUCCUGGCUCAGGAUGAACGCUAGCUACAGGCUUAACACAUGCAAGUCGAGGGGCAGCAUGGUCUUAGCUUGCUAAGGCUGAUGGCGACCGGCGCACGGGUGAGUAACACGUAUCCAACCUGCCGUCUACUCUUGGCCAGCCUUCUGAAAGGAAGAUUAAUCCAGGAUGGGAUCAUGAGUUCACAUGUCCGCAUGAUUAAAGGUAUUUUCCGGUAGACGAUGGGGAUGCGUUCCAUUAGAUAGUAGGCGGGGUAACGGCCCACCUAGUCAACGAUGGAUAGGGGUUCUGAGAGGAAGGUCCCCCACAUUGGAACUGAGACACGGUCCAAACUCCUACGGGAGGCAGCAGUGAGGAAUAUUGGUCAAUGGGCGAUGGCCUGAACCAGCCAAGUAGCGUGAAGGAUGACUGCCCUAUGGGUUGUAAACUUCUUUUAUAAAGGAAUAAAGUCGGGUAUGCAUACCCG
rnacentral:rRNA from 1 species